rnacentral:tRNA from 1 species
GCGCCGCUAGCUCAAUCGGCAGAGCAACUGGCUCUUAACCAGUAGGUUGAAGGUUCGAUUCCUUCGCGGCGCA